rnacentral:Y_RNA from 1 species
GGCUGGUCCAAGUGCAGUGGUGUUUACAGCUGACCAAUUGAUCAUAACCAGUUACAGAUUCCUUUGUUCCUUCUCCAUUCCCACUGCUUCACUUGACCAGCCUUAA